rnacentral:rRNA from 1 species
GUCCACGCCCUAAACGAUGUCAACUGGUUGUUGGGGGAGUGAAAUCCCUUAGUAACGAAGCUAACGCGUGAAGUUGACCGCCUGGGGAGUACGGUCGCAAGAUUAAAACUCAAAGGAAUUGACGGGGACCCGCACAAGCGGUGGAUGAUGUGGAUUAAUUCGAUGCAACGCGAAGAACCUUACCUACCCUUGACAUGUCCGGAACUUACCAGAGAUGGUUUGGUGCCCGAAAGGGAACCGGAACACAGGUGCUGCAUGGCUGUCGU